UUUCCAUGAAAUUAUUUAUGAAUCUUUUUUUCCCUAAGGGGUGGCCAUAAAUAUCAUCUUUAAUGCAUCUUCAUUAGUAGCUUUCAUCUUCUGAUGGGCCUGCAUCUUUUGUUGGAAGUUGGAUGUUGUUGGUAGAAAUGUUAAGUCCACAUCUUAGGUGUACGGAGUUUGUAUAAAAUAUGAACUCUAAUGUGUAGAAUUUGCAGGUCGCUGAAGUGUCACAGUCUGCUGAAAUGGGUCUGGAAUCAAUAAGGUACACAUCAAACUCAAUUGUAUUUAAUUUUCAUUGCUACCUAGAGGAAAGCCUUGCAUGGCCCUACAAGCAUGAAAUUAAACAUGAAAGCCCAUCUGAAGUGUAGAAGCGAUACUUAAAAUGACCUGUAAAUAGAGCAAAACCAGCAGGGCUUCCCUCUCUGCAGAGCCCUGGAGUCUCUUCCAAGUAGAAAA
rnacentral:lncRNA from 1 species